AGUGAACGCUGGCGGUAGGCCUAACACAUGCAAGUCGAACGGCAGCACAGUAAGGGCUUGCUCUUACGGGUGGCGAGUGGCGGACGGGUGAGGAAUACAUCGGAAUCUACUUUUUCGUGGGGGAUAACGUAGGGAAACUUACGCUAAUACCGCAUACGACCUACGGGUGAAAGCAGGGGAUCUUCGGACCUUGCGCGAUUGAAUGAGCCGAUGUCGGAUUAGCUAGUUGGCGGGGUAAAGGCCCACCAAGGCGACGAUCCGUAGCUGGUCUGAGAGGAUGAUCAGCCACACUGGAACUGAGACACGGUCCAGACUCCUACAGGAGGCAGCAGUGGGGAAUAUUGGACAAUGGGCGCAAGCCUGAUCCAGCCAUACCGCGUGGGUGAAGAAGGCCUUCGGGUUGUAAAGCCCUUUUGUUGGGAAAGAAAAGCAGCAGGUUAAUACCCCGCUGUUCUGACGGUACCCAAAGAAUAAGCACCGGCUAACUUCGUG
rnacentral:rRNA from 1 species